rnacentral:rRNA from 1 species
UACGUAGGGUGCAAGCGUUGUCCGGAAUUAUUGGGCGUAAAGCGCUCGUAGGCGGUCUGUCGAGUCUGCUGUGAAAACUCGGGGCUCAACUCCGAGCUUGCGGUCGAUACGGGCAGGCUAGAGUUCGGCAGGGGAGACUGGAAUUCCUGGUGUAGCGGUGAAAUGCGCAGAGAUCAGGAGGAACACCGGUGGCGAAGGCGGGUCGCUGGGCCGAUACUGACGCUGAGGAGCGAAAGCGUGGGGAGCGAACAGG